rnacentral:rRNA from 1 species
AACGCUGGCGGCGUGCCUAAUACAUGCAAGUCGUACGAGGGAAGUCCAGCUUGCUGGACGGAACGAGUGGCGAACGGGUGAGUAAUACGUAAGCAACCUGCCUGCAAGGACUGGGAUAACACCUGGAAACGGGCGCUAAUACCGGAUAGGUAACAAAGGGGCAUCCCUAUGUUAUUAAAGGUUAGAAACACAAGCAGAUGGGCUUACGGUGCAUUAGCUAGUUGGUGAGGUAACGGCCCACCAAGGCGAUGAUGCAUAGCCGGCCUGAGAGGGUGAACGGCCACAUUGGGACUGAGACACGGCCCAGACUCCUACGGGAGGCAGCAGUAGGGAAUUUUCGGCAAUGGACGAAAGUCUGACCGAGCAACGCCCGCGUGAGUGAAGAAGGUUUUCGGAUUGUAAAGCUCUGUUGUAAGGGAAGAACAGCACGGAAAGAAUCCGUGAAUGACGGUACCUUACCAGAAAGCCACGGCUAACUACGUGCCAGCCGCCGC